rnacentral:rRNA from 1 species
UACAGAGGGGGCUAGCGUUGUUCGGAAUUACUGGGCGUAAAGGGCGCGUAGGCGGCCCGCUAAGUCGAACGUGAAAUCCCCAGGCUCAACCUGGGAACUGCGUCUGAUACUGGAUGGCUUGAAUCCGGGAGAGGGAUGCAGAAUUCCAGGUGUAGCGGUGAAAUGCGUAGAUAUCUGGAGGAAUACCGGUGGCGAAGGCGGCAUCCUGGACCGGCAUUGACGCUGAGGAGCGGAAGCCAGGGGAGCAAACGGG